AGAGUUUGAUCCUGGCUCAGAUUGAACGCUGGCGGAAUGCUUUACACAUGCAAGUCGAACGGCAGCACGGGUGCUUGCACCUGGUGGCGAGUGGCGAACGGGUGAGUAAUGCGUCGGAACGUACCGAGUAAUGGGGGAUAACGCGGCGAAAGUCGCGCUAAUACCGCAUACGCCCUGAGGGGGAAAGUGGGGGACCGCAAGGCCUCACGUUAUUCGAGCGGCCGACGUCUGAUUAGCUGGUUGGUGGGGUAAUGGCCUACCAAGGCGACGAUCAGUAGCGGGUCUGAGAGGAUGAUCCGCCACACUGGGACUGAGACACGGCCCAGACUCCUACGGGAGGCAGCAGUGGGGAAUUUUGGACAAUGGGGGCAACCCUGAUCCAGCCAUUCCGCGUGAGUGAAGAAGGCCUUCGGGUUGUAAAGCUCUUUCAGCCGGAACGAAUCGGUGCGCGCUAACAUCGCGUGCUAAUGACGGUACCGGCAGAAGAAGCACCGGCUAACUACGUGCCAGCAGCCGCGGUAAUACGUAGGGUGCGAGCGUUAAUCGGAAUUACUGGGCGUAAAGCGUGCGCAGGCGGAUUAUUGAGCAAGACGUGAAAGCCCCGGGCUUAACCUGGGAAUGGCGUUUUGAACUGGUAGUCUAGAGUGCGUCAGAGGGGGGUGGAAUUCCACGUGUAGCAGUGAAAUGCGUAGAGAUGUGGAGGAACACCAAUGGCGAAGGCAGCCCCCUGGGAUGACACUGACGCUCAUGUACGAAAGCGUGGGUAGCAAACAGGAUUAGAUACCCUGGUAGUCCACGCCCUAAACGAUGUCAACUGGUUGUUGGGGGAGUGAAAUCCCUUAGUAACGAAGCUAACGCGUGAAGUUGACCGCCUGGGGAGUACGGUCGCAGAUU
rnacentral:rRNA from 1 species